rnacentral:rRNA from 1 species
GAUGAACGCUAGCGGGAGGCCUAACACAUGCAAGCCGAGGGAGAAUUACUUUUCGGAGUAAGGACACCGGCGAACGGGUGAGUAACGCGUAUGCAACUUGCCCUUAUCUGGGGGAUAACCCGGGGAAACUCGGACUAAUAUCCCAUAAUAAUAUGAAUAGCAUUAUUUAUAUUUAAAAGAUUUAUCGGAUAAGGAUAGGCAUGCGUAGGAUUAGUUAGUUGGUGAGGUAACGGCUCACCAAGACGAUGAUCCUUAGGGGGCCUGAGAGGGUGAUCCCCCACACUGGUACUGAGACACGGACCAGACUCCUACGGGAGGCAGCAGUGAGGAAUAUUGGACAAUGGGUGAGAGCCUGAUCCAGCCAUCCCGCGUGCAGGAAGACGGCCCUAUGGGUUGUAAACUGCUUUUAUACAGGAAUAAACCUACUUACGUGUGAGUAGUUGAAGGUACUGUAAGAAUAAGCAUCGGCUAACUCCGUGCCAGCCGCCGCCGUAACAC